CAGUAGCCGCGGGAAUACGUAGGUGGCAAGCGUUGUCCGGAAUUAUUGGGCGUAAAGCGCGCGCAGGUGGUUCGAUAAGUCUGAUGUGAAAGCCCACGGCUCAACCGUGGAGGGUCAUUGGAAACUGUUAAACUUGAGUGCAGGAGAGAAAAGUGGAAUUCCUAGUGUAGCGGUGAAAUGCGUAGAGAUUAGGAGGAACACCAGUGGCGAAGGCGGCUUUUUGGCCUGUAACUGACACUGAGGCGCGAAAGCGUGGGGAGCAAACAGGAUUAGAUACCCCUGUAGUCCCUGUCUCUUAUAC
rnacentral:rRNA from 1 species